GGGUUAGUCGUAUAAAGGUUAUUACGGUAGGCUGUUAACCUUCUUAUCGUGGUUCGAUUCCACGCUAUCCCGCCA
rnacentral:tRNA from 1 species